rnacentral:rRNA from 1 species
UACGCCCGAUCUCGUCCGAUCUCAGAAGCUAAGCAGAGUUGGGCUUGGUUAGUACUUGGAUGCGAGACUGCUUGGGAAUACCAGGUGCUGUAAGCCU